ensembl:snRNA U6 U6 spliceosomal RNA
GUGCUCUCAUCAGCAGCACAUGUACCAAAACUGGAUGAUCCAGAGACUAGCAUGGCCCAGUGCAGGGAUGACAUGCAAAUUCCUGAAGCAGGAACAUGUCUC